rnacentral:rRNA from 1 species
GGUCAAGCGAACAAGUGCAUGUGGUGGAUGCCUUGGCGAUCACAGGCGAUGAAGGACGCGGUAGCCUGCGAAAAGCGACGGGGAGCUGGCAAACGAGCUUCGAUCCGUCGAUGUCCGAAUGGGGAAACCCGGCCCUUCUGGGUCAUCCUGAGCUGAAUACAUAGGCUCAGUGAGGCGAACGCGGCGAACUGAAACAUCUAAGUAACCGCAGGAAAAGAAAUCAACCGAGAUUCCCAAAGUAGUGGCGAGCGAAAUGGGAUCAGCCUGUACUCUUUAUCACGACCGUUAGCCGAACACUCUGGAAAGUGUGGCCAUAGCAGGUGAUAGCCCUGUAGGCGAAAGCGGAUGUGUGGAACUAGGUGUACGACAAGUAGGGCGGGACACGUGAAAUCCUGUCUGAAGAUGGGGGGACCAUCCUCCAAGGCUAAAUACUCGUGAUCGACCGAUAGUGAACCAGUACCGUGAGGGAAAGGCGAAAAGAACCCCGGGAGGGGAGUGAAAUAGAUCCUGAAACCGCAUGCAUACAAACAGUCGGAGCCUCGCAAGGGGUGACGGCGUACCUUUUGUAUAAUGGGUCAGCGACUUACGUUCAGUAGCAAGCUUAACUGAUUAAGGCAGGCGUAGCGAAAGCGAGUCCGAAUAGGGCGUUUAGUUGCUGGGCGUAGACCCGAAACCAAGUGAUCUAUCCAUGGCCAGGUUGAAGGUGCGGUAACACGUACUGGAGGACCGAACCCAC